AACCCUUGUCCUUAGUUACCAGCACGUUAUGUGGGCACUCUAAGGAGACUGCCGGUGCAACCGAGGAAGUGGGGAUGAGUCAAGUCAUCAUGGCCCUUACGGCCUGGGCUACACACGUGCUACAAUGGUCGGUACAAAGGGUUGCCAAGCCGCGAGGUGGAGCUAAUCCCAUAAAACCGAUCGUAGUCCGGAUCGCAGUCUGCAACUCGACUGCGUGAAGUCGGAAUCGCUAGUAAUCGUGAAUCAGAAUGUCACGGUGAAUACGUUCCCGGGCCUU
rnacentral:rRNA from 1 species